GUGCCAGCCGCCGCGGUAAUACGAGGGGGGCUAGUGUUGUUCGGAAUCACUGGGCGUAAAGGGAGCGUAGGCGGGAGCCUAAGUUGGGUGUUUAAUUCCGGGGCCCAACCCCGGGCAUGCACCCAAAACUGGGUUUCUUGAAUAGGGGAGAGGUCGAUGGAAUUGGAGGUGUAGCGGUGGAAUGCGUAGAGAUCUCCAAGAACACCGGUUGCGAAGGCGGUCGACUGGACCCAUAUUGACGCUGAGGCUCGAAAGCGUGGGGAGCAAACAGGAUUAGAUACCCCGGUAGUCC
rnacentral:rRNA from 1 species